UACAGAGGGUGCAAGCGUUGUUCGGAAUUAUUGGGCGUAAAGCGCGUGUAGGCGGCUUGGCAAGUCGGGUGUGAAAGCCCCGGGCUCAACCUGGGAAGUGCACUCGAAACUGCUUCGCUGGAGUGCCGGAGAGGGAAGCGGAAUUCUCGGUGUAGAGGUGAAAUUCGUAGAUAUCGAGAGGAACACCGGUGGCGAAGGCGGCUUCCUGGACGGUAACUGACGCUGAGACGCGAAAGCGUGGGGAGCAAACAGG
rnacentral:rRNA from 1 species